UUGAGUUUUUGCAUCAUUCUCAAUAAAGUUUCUAUCUAGAGGCCAGCCACUUGAUCUUAGACUGCAAAAACUGCAUGCCUAUGCUCAUCAAGACAUUCUUAUGGCUAGGGGUGAGCGGUUCCAGGUUCCUCAUUUUUUGGAACCUGGAACCUACCCGUCGGAACUUGAAACCUAGAACCUACCCUGUCACAGGUUCUUUUUUUUUUAUUUCAUUUUUAGUUAAACAAAACGAAAAUGAA